rnacentral:lncRNA from 1 species
CUGGGUAGUUAUAAUUCUAAACUUCUAUAUUGUGUGUUUUUCAGUACCUAGAGAGAGAGGAAAUUGCAUAUUAGCACAAAAAGUCCAGGCCGGAUGCGAACUUCACUGAUCAGCCAAAAGCCUUUAUUCAGGAAUAGAGUCAUGGUUCUGACGGACCCACUCUCCUGGUGGAAAUGAGCCACUGAGAAAAGGAGGGAACUGGACUUAUAUAGGUUCUACUAAGAGGUGACUUAAUUAUUGAGUGUGUCAACUUGGGUACACAGGCAUUUGGGAUCUGUUUUACUGGGCAAAAUGGGAGGGAGUCUGAGGUCAGUGGUCAGUUUCUGGGAUUUAUCUUACUGGCCUGGAUGGAGAGCCUGGAGUCAGUGGUUGGUAUCUGGAAAGGAUUUGCUUAUGGAAUGAUUAAUGCUUUGGCCUUUUCCCAGAGACUUUUCUAGAUUUGAUGGACAUCUCCUCCCCAGGGUUUGUUUUAUCACCAGGAAUAAAUGUAUUGGGAAAGGAUCAAUGCUCUCAGUGUAUGGCUUUCUUUCUCACUCCCCUUUUCCUAGGUCUCACUAUUUGGAGGGGGGUGUUAUUUUCCAUAUCUAAUAGUGCACAUUUAGAAGUUAAUUUAAUCUAAAUAACUUGACUUCAGAAGUAAGUAAUGCCCAAAUGCUCAUAAUUAAUUUGAUCUAAAUAAUUAUUAAAUAAAUUCUUCAUUAAGAAUGACUCACUCUUGUAAACUUACUCUUGGAAAGACCAUUGGAGGUAGUCCCAUUUUUAUCCUUAGCAAUUGUUUAUUGAGUUUUAAUUGACUCCAG